CUACAUUACCUUGUGGGGUUUGAUCAGCAGUUCUGGAAGCACCUAGGGCAGGAAUCACCACCCCAGGGUCACAGAUGAGACUGCUGAGGUUCACAGGGGAACCGAGCAGAGCAGCAGGUACCCUGGCUCCCAACUCAGGGCUCUCUGGUUCCGGAAAAGAAUUCUAGGUGAAGGCGGGAGGGGGUGGGAAGGUCCUUCCCCCUAGGUGCCCCUGAGGUCUAACUCUGGAACUCCUUGGAUAAUGAGAAAAGGGGGGCUUCGGAACCCUGGAUGUGGGUUCCACAUCCUGCGGGGGCAGGGAGGCCGCCUGGGAGUCCGCCAGACGCAGUAAAUAAUUCACACAGAUGAACUGGAGAUAAGGGCGGCUUCGUGGAGGAUCGAGUUCAGGUCGGAGGAGGCUCAGACGGCUGGGGGGACUUGUGGUCUCCCCUGUCUGAGAGGGGAAAAUUCGUGGGACUCUGGCUGCCAGGAAAACACAGUCCCCAGGUGCCGGCUCGGUGCCACUCCCUGCCAUUGGCGGGAGGGAGCUCCCCGGAACUGCCCCGCGGGGCAACAUGCCUGGCCAGCCGCCUCCGCCCAGCCGUCCCCAUGGCAACCGGCUGGCCUGGUCCAGGGUUCACGGCCAACCGGAUCCUCGGUCUCCCCUCCCCCACGGGAGGCUGAGCGUCUUAGACUCCCAACUCUGUUCUCUGGGAGCUUCCAGCUGCAGGAGUCUACAGAAUCAUUCUGUCUGACCCCCUCGUUUUAUGGGAGGCAGACUUUAUAAACCAGAGCAGCUGCCUGAAGGUUUCCAAGAAAAAAUUCUGCACAGUUUCUAACCAGGGUGACAGUUCCCCUCCACAGGAAGUUCUUUUAUUAAUUUUUUUAUCUCUUCUUUUGUAAGACUAUCGGUCAUCAGGGAGCACCUGUGGGCAUUUUUUUGUUUCCCCCCACUGCUCCCAUUUGCCUGGAAUUCAUUAUUAAAUCUAAACCACAGUGGCCUUGCCCAACACAGGGGCGAAGUUCGAACUACUGAAAAAUGGGUCACUCAAAUCGCCUGUGCAGAAGAAUCCCAAAUAAUUUAUGGAGAUACUCCUUCCUCAAGGAGGUGAAACAUAAAUCCCUGUCCCUGAAGUGUGGGCUGUGCAUAAUGAUUUCCUUCUAUGGAGUAUAGUAUGGAAAGCAGGGAGAAAGAGUAAUUUUGCAGGAGAGAAACCUGACAAACACUAGCUCAGCCAGAUGGCCAAGGUCAACAUCAGCAGUGGUCAGUCGUGUCUAUAGCAUGGACACUUGAUAUGAUGUGAAGAGAACAGCACAUCACCCCCAAACCCAUAACCACAGUUGAACCACAAGAAAAACAGCAGACAGACCCCACUUGAGGGACAGUCUACAAAGUACCUGACCAACAGUCUAUCAAAAACAAGGAAAGUCUGAGAAACUACCACAGCCAAGAGCAGCCUAGGGAAAUAUGAUGGCUACAUGCAAUGUGGGAGACCCUGUGGAACAGAAAAAGGAUGGUGGGUAAAAACUAAUAAAAUCCAAAUAAACUACAGAGUUUAGUUAGCGGUAACAUACCAGUGUUGUGGAAAAUGUACCGCAGUAAUGUCAGGUGUUAACAAUAGGAGAAACUGGGUCGGGGUAUGUGGCAAUUCUGUAAUAUCUGCAUAACUUUCCGUAAAUCUAAAACUAUUCUAAAAGUUUACUUUUUAAACAGCGAGCCAUCUGUCUGGGCUUCAGGUAAUCCUCAAAACCUAGCUAUCUUUGAUUCCCCAUUUUUGCCAUUUAUGAAGGAUUUGAGCUUCUGAUGUGGGGAGUAUCCAAGCCCCUAGAUCCCAAC
ensembl:lncRNA